rnacentral:rRNA from 1 species
UACAGAGGGUGCAAGCGUUGUUCGGAAUUAUUGGGCGUAAAGCGCGCGCAGGCGGUCCUUUAAGUCUGAUGUGAAAGCCCACGGCUCAACCGUGGAGGGUCAUUGGAAACUGGGGGACUUGAGUACAGAAGAGAAGAGUGGAACUCCACGUGUAGCGGUGAAAUGCGUAGAGAUGUGGAGGAACACCAGUGGCGAAGGCGACUCUUUGGUCUGUAACUGACGCUGAGGCGCGAAAGCGUGGGGAGCAAACAGG